UACGAGGGGGGCGAGCGUUGUUCGGAAUCACUGGGCGUAAAGUGCACGUAGGCGGAUGUGUCAGUCAGGGGUGAAAUCCCGGGGCUCAACCUCGGAACUGCCUUUGAUACAGCACGUCUUGAGUCCGAUAGAGGUGGGUGGAAUUCCUAGUGUAGAGGUGAAAUUCGUAGAUAUUAGGAAGAACACCGGUGGCGAAGGCGGCCCACUGGAUCGGUACUGACGCUGAGGUGCGAAAGCGUGGGGAGCAAACAGG
rnacentral:rRNA from 1 species